UAUCUCGAAUUUGGGAGGGCUAGGAAAGUAUAAAUUUUACUGUGAAAUAAUUAUUUUCAAUACUUUCUUUGUAAUGAAAUAUUAGUCGUUCUUUAAUAUAUCUAGUUUUUUUAGAAAUUAAUUUAAUUAAGCUGGCUUGUUAUUUAUUUUUUUAGAAAAUUGAUUUUGUGGUCAAGUAAUACUAAGAGGGAUAAGCUUUUUAGUAAAUUACUAAAAUAUUAAUUUAGCUUGAUUUGUAAUAGGAAUAGAAGUUUUCAUUUUUUAUAGUGAGUUGUUUCAAGAAUUCGAUUAAGAUAAUUUUUGUAUAUUUAGGUUUUUUAUAAGAAUAAGGAAUUUAAUUGGGAAUUUUGUGUGAUAAUGAUUGAAUUAGUAUAUUGAAGUGUCCUAUAAUAGAUUUUUUGGUUGAGAGAUUUAAUUAAGGAAUUCGGCAAAUUUAUUUCUUGCCUGUUUAUUAAAAACAUGGCCUUUUGAUAAUAAUUUAAGGUCUGGCCUGCCCAAUGAAGUGUUUAACGGCCGCGGUACUCUGACCGUGCAAAGGUAGCAUAAUCAUUAGUUUUUUAAUUGAAAGCUGGAAUGAACGGUCGGACAAGGAAAUAGCUGUCUUUAUUUAAAGAGUAGAAUUUAAUUUUUUAGUAAGAAAGCUAAAAUGAGUUUAAGGGACGAGAAGACCCUAUAGAAUUUUAUAAGUUAUUUAUUGGUUGAUUUUAGGUUUAUUUAUUUGACUUUUAGGUAGAUUAUUUUGUUGGGGUGAUAGAAAAAUUUGUUCAACUUUUUUUUAGCUUGUAUUUACUAAUUUGUAAAUUAUUGAUCCACGAUUAGUGAUUAUAAGAUUAAAUUACCUUAGGGAUAACAGCGUAAUUAAUUUGGAGAGUUCUUAUCGAUAAAUUAGUUUGCGACCUCGAUGUUGGAUUAAAAUGAACUUUUGGUGAAGGAGCUAUUAGGUUAAGUCUGUUCGACUUUUAAAAUUUUACAUGAUCUGAGUUUAAACCGGCGUGAGCCAGGUUGGUUUCUAUCUUUAGAAAGAUUUAAUAUUUUAGUACGAAAGGACCAGAUAUUAGUUUUAUAAACUUUAAUUUGGAUAUUGAU
rnacentral:rRNA from 1 species